UACGUAGGGAGCAAGCGUUGUCCGGAAUCAUUGGGCGUAAAGCGCGCGUAGGUGGCCAUGUAAGUCCGCUGUGAAAGUCAAAGGCUCAACCUUUGAAAGCCGGUGGAUACUGCAUGGCUAGAGUACGGAAGUGGCGAGUGGAAUUCCUGGUGUAGCGGUGGAAUGCGCAGAUAUCAGGAGGAACACCGAUGGCGAAGGCAGCUCGCUGGGACGGUACUGACGCUGAGACGCGAAAGCGUGGGGAGCAAACAGG
rnacentral:rRNA from 1 species